rnacentral:lncRNA from 1 species
GACCUUGCUCAGGUCACGUUCUGAGCCUGCUUCUCACUCCUGCCCCCUCCCACCCUCCUGGUUCUGCCAUGGACAAGCUGAAGUCUCUCUGGGACCAGGGGACCCGCAUGGCCCAGCCACCCCACCCCACCAUCUCCCAGGCAUGUGAGAAAAUAUCACAUUCUCUGUGUUUUGGAGAUUUCUUCUAAAUGUAUUUUCCAACUAUCAUUUCAUAGCAAAUCAGCGAGAAAAAAGGGGCUUCCUGGAGCUCCUGCAACCCCAGGCAUUAGUUCCAGUGCAGUUCUAGGAUCAGAUCAAUUCACUCGACAACAAGAGAAACAAAUGGAGAUUCCUACACAAAGACUUUCAAGCACAAAGAAAUCCUGCUGCCUGUAAAGUGGAGCUGCCUCAGCUCUUGAUGAACGACAGAAAAUACCACCUACUGCCAGACCUCAACGCCUCACAAAACUCUCACCCACCUACUGCUUUUAGCUCACAUUCCAGGAAUUCAGAUGAAGUGAAGUGCUCUCAUGGGGACCAGGCAUGGUUAUUCCAGUCCACUGCCCUGCAAGCCUCAAGGGAAGCCAACUGCCCUUCAGCAAGUCACACCUGCCUUGGUGGAGGCCUUGAUUGGAAGUGCCACACGCUACAUGUCCAGUCCUGAGCGGGAGAAUCGGUGUAGGGACGUUGUGGGGAUGCCGGCUGUGGCCAGAUCAGGUCCAGCUACAGAAGAAUGAAGACUCCACCUGAGGGCUGGAAAAACAAAACCUCAAGUGUGAGGCAGCCAACCUGUUACCUCGAGGGACUGUCCCGCAGCACAGCGGGGCCAUGGGAACAGCAGCAGACACCCCGGCCUCCUCGCUACCUGUGUGUGUAUUAACGCCCCGG